rnacentral:tRNA from 2 species
GCGGACGUGGUGGAAAUGGUAGACAUAGUAGCUUUGGAUGCUACGGGGGCCGCCCUAGGAAGCACUCGCCCCGUGCCGGUUCAAGUCCGGUCGUCCGCACCA